AAAUCUCAACCUCCUUGGUUUCUUCUGGACACCGAAGGAGGCUUGGACUUUGGAGGCCUUUGCUGGCGUCUCUCGCCAGCUCCUCUCAAAUGAAUUAGCGGGGUCCUCUUUGCCGAUCCUCGACGUGUGAUAAGAUGUUUCCAUGUCUUGGUUUCUGGCUCUGUUGCUUUUGGGACCCGCUUCUAACCGUCUCAACCCGAGACAAUGUUUGGGCGUGUCUCCCUUCUCGGGAAACACCCUCAAGCCCACGAAC
rnacentral:misc_RNA from 2 species